GGCUGGUCCGAUGGUAGUGGGUUAUCAGAACUUAUUAACAUUAGUGUCACUAAAGUUGGUAACAAUCCCCCACUGCUAAAUUUGACUGGCUUAAA
ensembl:Y_RNA Y_RNA Y RNA